CGCAGAAACAAGCGGAGAAUAAGAAGGGCCUCCCAAAAAAAGAGGACUAGCACGAACGCUGGCUCCGCCACCCGAGCUGCUCCGUUACCGCAGAGGCGACGACGACCAGGGCCGUGUUGUUGCUGCCAACUUGUCGAGAAGACACUGAGCAUGCGCGCGCGGAGACCACAUCCGGGCGCCCGCGCGGAAACACUGGUAGAUGCUCUGCGGGGAUCCUCGGCCAGGGCCUAGCGUAGCACUUCGCGCGGCGCUGUGUCUUUGAGCAGAGGUUGCUCCCCGGGAGUGGUCUUCACUGAGAAACGCAUUCUUUCGCAAGAGUUCUGAGGCAGCGCAGGAGAAUUCGGUGUCCAGCAAACACUAACUCCGGUUGGUUGUCCAGCGGCUUACUUUGGGAAGAAACUGGCUGCACCUUCCUUUCCUUCCCUCCAGCGCCAAAUCGCGAACUUCAGAAGUGUUUAAACUCCAGAAACGCACUGAACAGUCAAGGAAUCACAUUCACAAGCCUUGCCAGAUGUCAGAAAAUGUGAAAGGUCUCACUAUGCAGUUCAGGCUGGCCUCGAGUUCACUUUGUAGCCCAGGCUGGUCUCAGACUUGCAAUGAUCAUCCUACCUCAGCCUCCCAAGUGCUGGGAUUACAGAGUCUUGCGGUGUAAUUCAAACUGGGCUUGAACUCACUAUGUCACCCAAAUUGGCCUCAGACUCCUAGCAGUUGCUCUGCCUCAGCCUCCUGAAUCUUGGAACUACAGGCUCGGUUUUAAAUUGCUUUUUAAAAAUGUUGUUUUAGUAAUUUUAUCGAAAUUUAUUUAUAGUAAUUCCUUUUACCUUACUGUGUUUAUAUGAUUUAUAUCAAUAUCUCUUUUUACAUUCUUGAUUGGGUAUUUUGUAGAAAGUAGUUUUAACAAUAUAUCAUUGGAUCAACUGAUGAAUGGAUAAAUAAAACAUGGUACAUUGAUACAAUAAAAUAUUUUUGGCCAUUAAAGGAAAUAAAGUACUCAUAUUAUGUGGAUGCCUCUUAAAAACAUACUAAGUGAAGAAGCCAGUCACAAAGAACCACAUGGGAUGAAGCAUUUCUAUUAUUAUGCAAUAACCUAAACAGGAAAUUAGUAGUAAACAACAGAUUAGUAGUGAUGAUAGUUGUACAAUUCUAUGAAUUUUUUUUUUGUACCAGGGAUCAAACUCAUGACUGUCGCUCUAUUAAUGUUUGAAAAGCUAUUGAAUUGUAUGGCUUUUUUUUUUAUCGGUACCAGGGAUUGAACUCACAACUGCCUGCUUGCAAGGCAGGCGCUUAUGCCGCUGAGCUAAAUCCCCAGCCCCCCCCCCGCCUUUUUUUUUUUAAUCUGGCUUUUUUUUUUUUCAAGAUAGGAUCUUACUAAAUUGCUAGAUUGCCAUGGCUGGGCUUGCACACCUCCUGCCUCAGUCUUCCAGAGUGUGGAAAUUACAGGCAUGUUCCAGCAUGUCCUACUUCAAUAAAGUUGAUUUAAAACCUGUCAUUAUGAGUGCAAUCACCAGCAUACACACACACGAAAUUUUUUAAAAAAUCUUAUCACUGGACAAAUUAUGUCCUCCCUCAGUUUUACUCAAAACAACAAAUUGGAAACUACUAACUUGCAAAAAAAAAAAAAAUUGUUACAUAAUCAUUCCACUUUUUUUAAACCUCGAUACUAAUUUAUCAAUUAUCACUUUCUUUGGUUUUUAUCCUGCACAUUUGAUCACAGUAGUAUCAGCAGGAUACUUGACCACACUGGUUUCUAUGAAGAUCAGUUUUAGGAACUAUUUCAUAUGAAAGUAUGUCUGUAUAUACUUGCAAAGUCUUUGCUUAUCUCCAGAAGUACAAAUACGCUAGUGGGAAGACCACUGUUCAGGCUCACUGCAUCUCAGGAGAGGCACAUGGGAGGACAUGGAUGGUGCCCAGGUUCUGCUGGCGGGGUCCAUGGCAAGGCCACUGAUAAGCCAGUGAGGAUGAACACUGGAGCUGCUGACCCAGACCUGUGUACUUCUACAAGGUCAGCUCCAGUCCAGAAUAUGUGACAGAGAUAGGGUCAGAUGAACCUAUCAUCUCUGAAAGUCACAGCAAUGUAGAAAACAACCUACACAAAAUAACCUCAGUUAUCUGAACUAAAGGUUGUUCAGUUCUGCCCGAGGCUGCCGAAACACUGGCUCACAGUUCAAAGAUUUAUGUAGCUGGAAAACUUGAUUCCUUGACUUUCCUCUUUCACUUUUUUUUGUGAGUGAAUUUAAUCUUUGUACCUGCCAUGUCUGCUGAGAAUAUAAUUAGCAUGCUGACAUCUGAGCAGCAAUUUCUCAGCUUUAUUUAGGGAUAGAAGUAUUUUUUACUUUGGAUAAACUCAGGUACCCCCAACUUCCUUAUUAUCCUGAAUAUGAUAGUUGUUUAACCUUUCAUAUACAUUGAGGACACAGCAAUAGCUAUAUUCAGAUGUCAACUGGAGUUACCUAUCCUUUAAGAUAGACAUGAAAUUGGCUCAGUUCCUCCCCAUUGUCCCAAUGGGUUAUGUAAAAGUCAGCGCCUUCUUCCCAGUAUUCUAAAUAUUUCUGGGAAAUAUGGGUUCCGUGAGCACCUGAUUCCAGCUUCCGUGAACUGUACUCCUUCGAGAACUGACCACUCUUCCUCCUGCUCUUUUCCUCCUUACCCCGUCAUAGAAUUCAGAACUUGUCUUUGAUGGUGUGGAGGAUCCUCAAAUCAGGUGCCUAGCAGACUUCAAAGAAAGUUUGGGGGACACGGAUAUACUCUGGGGAACAAGGACAUAACUCUGAGCAGCAGAGAGUCAGUAGAACAUCUAAUUUGUGUGCAUUCCCCAUUCUUUCCCCAUUCUCCUACCCUCAUGGGGUUUCAGACGCCUGUCUUGAGGAUCUGCUCUCUCCUUCCCUUCUUUCUUACUUUUGUUCUGAUAUUCCUGUACUUAGCAAAAACCAACAUCCACUUGUUAGGCGAGGGAAAAAAAUUAUUUUUUACAACUUUUUCGCUGUCUGUGGAUUUCUGUCUACAUAUCCUGGGUCACCAAGCUGAAGUUUUAAAACUAGUAUUGAUAAGGAUUUCCCUAGUAAAGUCAGAAGCCACUUCACUCCUCAAUUUUAUCUCAGAGAAUACAAGUGUAGAUUUUGCUUGUAAAAUGAAUCAGAAAAAAAUAGGAGAAAAAGAACAAUCUAUUAAUAGAAUAACACAAUGACAAGAAUGUUUAGCCAGUUAAUACUAUUUAUUGAGUACCUGCUAUGUUUCAGGCACAGAGCUAGGCACAAAGGCAAACAAAAUCAGACAUAGUUAUGUUCUUGUGAAGCUUACAGAGCUUCUGAGAAAAGAAACAACAAUCAAAUACAAAAAUAAAAUGAAGCUAUCAGUGACAAACACCAGGAGAGUGCAGCACAAGUGCUGUGAGAGUAACAUGCUACUGGGGUCAGGCUAGCUGUCCAUGAGAUUGUGACAGCAAACCUGUGAUCUGAAGGUCUAGGGUUGGAGAACCUAGGAAGCAAAAGAGCACUCCAGGCUGAGGGACAGGCCAUGUGGAGGCUGUGUACAACUGAAAGCCUUGACAAAGGACGGAAAGAAGGCCCACAUGACUGGGGCUGAAAACCUGGGCAGCACUGAGGGGUGAGUGUGGGCUGAAAAGAUAGUAAGGCUUUGAAAAGUUUCAAGCUGGGGAAUGCGAGGCAGCUCAGAUUUACGUUUUGAAAAAAGCAUUCUGGCUGCAGUGUAGAGAAUGGGACGGAAUGUUACAAAGACUUGAACUGUCAACUGGAGAGCCCAUGUGAAGACAGGCAGUGAUUACUGAUGAUUAUUCAGAGCAAUGUCUUCGGCUGGGGAUUUAGCUCAGUGGUGUAAGUACCUGCCUUGCACCAAAACAAAACAACAACAACAACAAAAACACAGAGCAGUUUCUUAUCUGUCUGUUCUUUUUUAUACUAAAUGAAUAUACACAUACAAGUAAUUCAAAACAGCAAAAGUACUACCAUAUAAGGUUUAUAAAAAAAUGAAAACAAAAAAAAAGCAGCCCUCCCAAAAAACAAAACAAAACAGGAAUCUCAGCAGCACCCCAGCCGUCCUUCCCCAAUCCCUUCACUCCUGCCAAGGAGCCCUGCUUCCACUCUUACCUACUUACCUAGUAUUUCCGCCCCCUUCUUUUUGGGAGGAGUGGGGAGCAGGGUCUAGUGCUGUGCUACAGGCCCAGCCUUUGCCCUUGCUUUUUAAAACAUAUUUUUAAAGUGCUAUUUGCUUUUCAGUUUCACAUAUUAUUUCCUACUAGGGAAGAGAAAAUGUUCACACUACUGCUCCAUGUUCCCCCGUCUUGCUUUGCAAGAAGGAAUUCAAAUCCAUGACCAACAGUUUUUUUUAGUAUUCCCAUAUGAAAAAAGUACGAAUGUUCAUUACCAGAAAAAAGAAAACAUGAAUCUGUAAGAACAGACUCAAUAUAUUUCACUAUAAAUAUAUACCUCUGUAAAAAGUGUUUUCAUGUAUAUUUGUCAUGGACAUAUUUGACGCAGUAAGGAUUUCUAUCCCUUUAACAGAGUAUAAACUACCCAAAUUUUAAGUUUUCACAAGAACAUUCAAUGAAACCACAGUUGCAGUAUAUAUAUCCUAGUUGAAAGACAUAAUAAAGUUAUUUGUACUAGGAGCAAAAAUAACUAUUAUAAGACUGAUGUCUUGGGAUAGAACUGUUAGAAAUGUUAUCAAACAUUGACUGUCCAUAACAUUUACAGAUAGAACAGCAAAACAGGCCACUCCUACAAAGAGUGUGAAAACAAGCGGGUGAUUCCUACCAAGAGCCUAAAAAUAUAAGUCAGACAUUGUGACCCUCAGAUAAAUAAACUCCAAGGAAGGAAAUAACUCAGAGGUACAAAGAUUUAGUAUGAAAAUAUUCACAUGGAGUUAUGUAUAAUAACAGAAAAAAUGCUCCAAAAUAGAAAAAUGGUGAUAUCAAUGUAAAAAUAAGCAUGUCUACAUGUGUGUAAUUAUAUAUAUAUAUACAUAUACACACAUAUAAACAUUUAUAAUCAUUUAUAAAAUACCUACAUGCCAAUUUAAGUUUGAAGAAAAAGGGUAAGAUAUUUUCUCCUGGGCUGGUCUACCACCCAUACAUGUCAGAAUCACUCCAGGUGGGAAGUAUUAAAAUCCAAAUUCUCAGGUUCCUUCCUAGGCCUACUGACUUUUAAGAGACACUGUGAACAGCCCAAGGCUCUGUGACUGAUACAUUCUUGACUCCUAACAGAGUUUGAUUCAAAAUUUAUUAAAACUAUAUUAAUGAGGCAUGAGUGGUUCAUCUGGGCAAGUGAAAACAACUUUAAAGAAUGGAAAGUAUGUGUUUUAAGUCCAAAAAAUAGAUGAAUCUAUGAAUUUCUGAAAAUUUUUAGGUCAGUUUAGGCCACAAAAAGUAUUAUACUAAGUUCAAAUAUGGAAAUCAUUACCUCAAUAAAUUGUCCAGGUAAAACAUAAGUAUAAUAAUUUUAGUAGUUAUAAGGAACAGCAUUUCUCAAUGUUCCAAGACAUUCCUUCGCAAAAAGAGGGUUCAGUGAUCAAAUAAGUUUGGGGCACAUUAUACAUAUACCACUCCCUCCUCUUUAAGGUCAGACAAUCAUUAGUAGAUUACAGGUUCUGAGGAGUUAAAUAACCUUUCUUUUUACUUCUAGUUCCUUGUUGUCUUAGAAUUGUCCUGCCAUUAAAAACAAAUUCUAGGCUGGGAGAGGAUCUGGAAAGAAUUCUCAUCAUGGACUGAGUACUACACUUGACCCAACAUCUUAGUUUCUUUCCUUCAUCUCUGAGGGCUUAUCAUGGCUCAAAUCAGCUCCCAAAUAAUGUUCAAGAACAGCAAAACAAUGCCAGGCCACAAGACUGGGACACCGAAAGGAAGUUUUACUUGCCUAUUACUACCGCUAGCCUGUUAGCUCAGAACGGGAAACAUACCUCUUGUCUGUUCAUUUAUGUACGUACCUAGCACUUAUUUGGUACUCAACGAAAGGGACACAGCCAUUCAGGUAAUUUUAAAAAGUUUUGAUGAGUAAUGAAAUGAAUGCACAAUCAAAAUAUCAAGACUUCAUUUCACUCAAAGAAAGUUUGAGCACUUACUCUACAAAGGCAUUUCUAAGACUGUAGAGCCAGCAAGACAUAGUCCCUUCCCCUAAGAGCUCUAAGCAAUGAGCUACUAGUCCCCUAGUUCUGCCUUGUACAUUUUGAGAACACAAUAAUUUCUAAUUAAUGCUUGUUUAAAUUGAGUUUGGAAACCAAGACACACCUUAAGUUUGGUCAAAUUUGGGCAAUUUGGAGGCAAAGAGACUAGAGUCAAAAUCUGACCGUUCUAGAAUUAUUGAGAACUCAAGUAAACAGAGGUGUCUUGGUCAUCACUUACUACCAUGUAAUCUCUAUAGCCAGCCAAGAAUCAAGAAUUUUAUGUAGAGAAACCUUAGAACUCAAAGGAAUGUAAAAGUACACACCUUGACAGUGUUUCUAAAUGUGUGUACUGCCAAGUUCCCUCGGCUUUUGUGAUGUUAACAUACAGGACUGAGAAAGGAGUUCUGCAGAGUUGACAGGCCUGUGUACUGCAAGACUUUUCAUUGCUUUCACAGUGUGCUGCAUUCCUUAUAUACAUUAUGUUUGUAUUUUUUCACAAGAAUCCUAUGAAGCACAUUUUAUGCUUUUUUCCAUCUUGCAGAUAAACAAGUUGAAGAAACUAUGACAGAGUACAUCAUAACCUGCCUGCUCGACCAUAAAGGUACCACCCGAGUGGAACUCUAAAAGCAGGGCUUUCUGGUACCAAAGCCUGGUUUAUGAUCACUGCAAGCAGUACUUUGUUUAAUAUGUUGAUGGGUACCAGCCCAGAGGAACACAUAGUACAUAGUGUUUCCCAAACUGGUUUGAUUAGGGAGUCCUUCUGAGCAAAUCCCUUCACUUGGUUUUCAUGAGAAAUACUGUGAAGCAAGUGAGUCAAAGUCUCCAUGGCAGACAAAAAGGAGGUAGAAGGUAACUCUGAAAAGAAAAGCUACUCUACAAUUUGUUCAUUUCCACCUCUGCCUUUCUCUCCUCUCCCCUUUCUCUCACCCCGCUGUGGUACUGGGGAUAGAAUAUAGGGCCUUACCACUGAGCUACAUCCCCAGCCCUCUUUUACUUUGAGACAAACUCACUAACUUACUAAAUUGCCAAGACCAGGUGACCCCCCUACCUCUUCCCAGCGUUGGGAUAGAGGUACAUGCCAACAUGCUGCCAACAUGCUAUUAAAAUUGUGCUCAAAGAAUUAUUAUAGGGACAUGUAAAUUAAACCUUGGUUUAACAGGUACCAUUUAAACCUCUAGACUCAUAAGCUUCACUUGGUGAGUCACUUAUUUCACAAAAUAUUUCAUAUGGAAUUCCAAUUCAAGCAUUAGAAUCUUCUGUAGGAUUUGACUUACAUAUAAACCCAUUACAUCACUAGUUUUGGUAAAGCAUAUUCAAUUGGGAGUGUGAGUUUUAACUUGUUAGGACAAGAACUGAAAUUUACAUUUGAGGAUGAGAUCAUUCUUUUAUUUUUUUCUGGUAGUACUAGAGAUUGAAUCCAGGGUCUUAUGCAUCCUAGGCAAGAGUUCUAUCACUGACAUACCCCCUGUUGCCUUUUUAUUUGACACUGAAAUAGGGAUUCACUUCCUUAUCCAGGCUGACUUCAAUCCCCCUACUUCCCUGAGUAGUUGGGAUUUUAGGAAUGCACCACCAUGCACAGCUAGAGUAAGAGAAUUCUUCAUUGUACAGGACUAACCCAAACUCUGUUGGACAUUUGGCAUCCCUGAUCCCUGCUGAUUAAACACCAGUAACAUCACCACCAUUCCUCAGUCCUUAUAAUAAGAAUACAUCCUUAAAAUUUCUAAAUUACUAGGGAAGUAUCCAGCUAAGAAUCAUAGAAAGUUCAAUAAAAUAUUAAGACAAACUCCCAGCCCAAUCUUGAAUUCAGUAUUCUAACAAAGCCACUGUCAAGCUAUUGUUCUCUGUCUUCUGUUAGUAACACGAGUAGAUUCAACACAAAAUGCCUCCAUUCCCCUAAGAAUACCAUUCCCCUCCAUUCCCCUAUCAAUACCAUUUUUAGCCAAGAGGCCUAUAUACUUUACCAAUAACAGCAAUAAAGAUGGGCAAAACUAGGGCCAAGAAUUCAUGGCUUGUAUCUGUGACAGUAGCCACAAAAUGAGAAGUUUAUUUGAAAAACCUAUCAUUUUGUCUUACAUUUCAAGAAGAAUGUUGGAUGUAUUUUUAUCUUUUAAAAAAUGAUUUAUUAUCAAAAAGUUUGCUCCUUCUUACUACGAGGUCAGUUUAGCAAUGCAGCUCCAUCCUUUCAGGAUUAUUAGGGCCAAUAAUUUUUAAAAAAACCAGAAAACAAAACUCUGGACUGUAAGUUUUGGCAACAUAUUCACAGACACGUCAAUAGGUACUCAGGAACACUGGUUUCACUUCUUGAUCGGAAUGCCAAUCACCAUAAAAUCUUCUGCUAGAGUCACUUCUUGGAGAUCUAAUACUGAUUCCGCCUGCUUUUUCAGUUCUGCAAUGCCAUCUGCUUCUCCUUCCCUGGCCAAAGCAACUGGUUUGUACCUCUGACUGAAAUGAGUCAGAAUCAGCCUCUUUGCACGGCACAACUUUGCAAAUGUUGCUGCCAUCUGUGGAGUGCUGUGGCCAUGCUCCUUUGCUUUGUCCAUCUGAGCAUCAUCCAAGGUCGCCUCGUGGAUCAACAGGUCUGCAUCAGAGCACAGCUUCACUCCUCCAUCACCCACAACUCCAGAGCAAUCACCCAAUAUGCAGAUUUUUCUUCCAACAAUAGGCUUUUUUAAGACGUCUUGGGGAGAAAUUGUAAUCCCAUUUUCCAGGACAACAGAAAUCCCAUUUUUCAGUUUCCCAUAGGCAGGACCUGGUGGAACACCUAAUGAUGAAGGCAGAUAACAUUAUAUCAUGGAUAUGGAAUUUAUGAUCUUUUAAAAAGGCACUUUCACAGCACAGCAAAUAGAAAAUGAAAUAAGCAUCCAAUUCUUUUCAUAAUUGCUGUUUUACUACUUGUGGAAAACUAGAAUAUUUAUACUUUUAAAAGUUCAGUGUUGGCUAUUACCAAUGUGUUUAUACUUAAAACAUUUCCCAUGUUCAUUUGUCAGAUGACUUUUAAGCUGCUAAAUCCCGCUAAGACUUUAUUACAGUGAGGAUAGCAGCUUUGAUUCUCUGCUAUACAUGGAAAUAACAGUUUUUUAAAACUGCUUUACUUAGUGAGCUAAUUUUUGGGCAGAAUUAAAGAGUAUAAUCAAACAGUAACACAGUGUCUAGUCAAGAUAGGUACCCACAAGUUAACUUAACAGAAAAAGCAUUAGAGAGGACCGUUUGGAUCAUAAAAUCAGAAGCAAUUUAGGAAUCACACAUGAAGAAUCUUCUUGGUAGAUGGGACAAUUCCACAAUUAUCAACCUGGGCCUACAUCUUAAAUUAAUCUAGAGUGACACCUGAUCAUCACUCUGGACAAUACUUACAAACAAGUAUGAUCACUAAUUCUUAUACAGAUUCUGUUUAAAGUUUCCAAAUACGAUAGUACUUACACAGGCUUUGAGAUAAUAAAACUAACUUUGACCUAAGUCACUUUUCCUCAUUAUGUAGCAUCUUAUUUUAGUAAAGGAAGAGAUUGUAUGCAUAAAGAAACAAAUAUACAGAAAGGAGAUGCCAAGGCAGUGGUGACUGAUGCUGGGGGUGGGAAGGACCUGGCCUCUCUUUCACAGUGAGAGCUAAGGAUCCUUCAGUAAGCCCUAAACCUUCUUUGCAUGCUUUCUUACCACCACGAUCAGCCCUAGUAUAUAAAACUGAUUAACGUAUAAUGCAUUUUUUAAUGGUACUGGCAUUGAAUUCAGAGCCUUUACACUAGAAUCCUUUUUAAUUAUACAAGUAUAGAUAGAUAUAGAUGUUUAUUUUUAGUUUUUUUUUUUUUUCAUUUUUAUAGAGUGAUUGAGAGAGGGCAGAGUCUAAACUGGCAAUCCAAAUGCUUAGGCCUCCCAGAGUGUUGGGAUUAUAGGUGUGUAACUAGAUACAGUGUUCUGAAAACCAAAUUAAAUUAGUCAUGUUUGAGUGAGCAGGCAAAGUAGAUAGAGAAGGAACCCCUGCAAAUAGUUGUCUGCAGCUCUAAAGUUAAGAAUCAUCAUAAAAAUUCUCAGGCCAAAGAUGUCACAAAUAUAUAUUAGCCAGGCAUGAUGAUGCAUGCCUAUAUUUCCAACACAGGAAGGCUGGGACAAGAGGAAUGCCUCAAGUUCAAGGCUGGCCUGAAAUACAGAGUGAAAGCUUCUCUUAAAGCAAACAAACAAACAAAAAGAAAAUAUAUUUCAAAAGGAAGAUAUGAGGGCUGCAAGUAUAGCUCAGUGAUACAGUACUUGCCUAACAUGUGGAAGACCCUGGCUCAACCCCCAGCAGCACAACAAAAAGACCAUUCCCACCCAAACAACCUUACCAGCCAGACAGUAUAAAGUGAAGAUAAGACACGUAAGAAUGUGAAUCCAGAAAACUAAAGAGAGAAGAAUUAAAAAAUACUGCAUAUUUGGAUUUUGUUCUGAAUAGCAUCUUUUGGCCCCAAAGACUUUCCUUAAUAAGCAAACUUUGGGCAGAGACAGUGGAGAAAAAGUUAUUUUUAGGCCUGAAAUACAGGAAAGGCAAGUUACAGCUUCACUUCUAAUGGCUAAGUAGCUUAGCUUUUGAGAGGGAUACACACACACACACAAACGCACUUACCAAGGUCUUUUAGCUUCUGUGCAUUAAGUUUACCUGGCCGUUUCUUUUCCACAACAGAGAACCCAAAGGAGGGAAUUCGGUGAAAGAGGCGAAAUGCUUUUACAACAAACUGUUCAUCAUCCACUAGAAGGAUACUAAGCCACCUUGAAGUGUGACAUGAGGACUCUGCAGAUAAAAAGACUAUGGUGGCCACUCAGUUCAGAUUGCAUGUUGGUCUCAAAACUGGCAACAUCAGCUUUUCUGGGUCCUUUCCUAUCUACUCCAAAACAAAGCUAAAGUUGAACAGCAAAACAGCCUGGGAACCCAAAGCAAGUCAGGCAAAUUAAGUAAGUGGAAAAUUGCUUCCCACAGUUAUCACAGUUUCAAGAGAGACAAACAUUUCAUUUUUCAAGAAACUUGAUUUCAGAGGGAGAAAGAAUGGCAACCACAAUUAUCAAAGUUAUGAGGAAGCUAUCAAAUGAAGAGAGAAAAAUAUAUGUAUUCCCUGGCACAUGAGAACAAGCAGUGAUCAGGAAAACACUGCCCACAGAGGAAUGGAAUGCUAAGCACCCUAUGAAAAUGACGGUAAGGUAUAACUUUCUACCAUGCAAAAAAGUCUACAAUACAUUGUAUGUAUAUAUGGUUCCAAGGAAAAAAGCGGGUUAUGCCAAUGUAAUGUGUGAUUUCACUUAUGCAUAACUACACAUACAUAUACACCAAAUACGCAUAUACGGCCAUACUGUUACCAUAUCUAUAUGAACAGCAAGUUUACCUAAAGGGAAGAGAAUUUGGGGGUUCUUAUUUAUACUGUUCUGUUUUUUUCUAGCCUCCACAAUAAGCAUUACAAUCAAUUUAAAUUCAUUUAAAUAGCGGCUGGGGAUUUAGCUCAGUGGCAUAAGCACUUGUCUGGCAGGCACAAGGUCAUGAGUUUGAUCUCUAGUACCAAAAAAAAAAAAAAAAAACCAUUUAAAUGAUUUAUAACAAUCUCUUGUGCCCUCUUUUUGUGCCAGAAUCAAACUGAAGGUUUUAUUUAUGUGCUAAACACACAUUCCAGCAUAAAGCUACAUCUUCAGCCCCACAUAAAAAACUUUUAUAAUCAUAUUAAAAUCAUACUUUUAGCCAUCCUAGGGACAGAACCAGCCAGUGUCUCCUGAUACCCAUGUCACAAUGGAACUUAGGGUGCUGGGAAACAAGGCAACCCGCUUGCCUCACUGGUAAGCAUCUGUGAGCCUACCAGCCCACAGGCUGAGAAUCAAACAUCCCAUUCUCCCCUUCCAUUAGCAAAUGGAAGCCAGAAGUCUGAGCAUCUCUUGGGAGGAUGAUCAUAUGCAUUGUUAUCACUCUUUUGCUUUGUUCUGAUUAAUUGUAUUGCUCUAUUCAACAUUCUGUUUUGACAAGCUCUAUAAUGUUCUGUAUUUGGUUUGAUUUUGCUAUACCUGACUGAAAGAACAACUAUUGUGAAGAUAACAAGAUAUACUGUGGCACCAUUUAUCCCAUUACCAUUUAUCCCAGUAACCUGCUGUGACAUUCUAUACCAAUUUCACUGCAUUAUCUCAAUUGGCUUUGUUCUGCUUUGUUCUGUUGUAUUUUACUACCUUCAAAAUAAUAAAAACAUUUUUUUAAAGUCA